rnacentral:rRNA from 1 species
UACGUAGGCAGCAAGCGUUGUUCGGAGUUACUGGGCGUAAAGGGUGCGUAGGCGGUUCUGUAAGUAUGGUGUGAAAUCUCCCGGCUUAACUGGGAGGGUGCGCUAUAAACUGCGGGACUAGAGUGUGGGAGAGGAAAGUGGAAUUCCUGGUGUAGCGGUGAAAUGCGUAGAUAUCAGGAGGAACACCGGUGGUGUAAACGGCUUUCUGGACCAUAACUGACGCUGAGGCACGAAAGCUAAGGGAGCGAACAGG